rnacentral:misc_RNA from 1 species
CCCCGCCUCUGUUGAUGGCAGAUGAGCCAACGGCGGAGGUCGAUUCGGAAACCGAACGCAUGAUUCUCGAUGUGCUCGAAAUGCGGCGAUGCGACGGGGCCGCAGCCUUGAUCGCCACUCANNNNNNNNGCUCAAGCCACCCGCAUCGUUAGGAUCGUGGACGGCCGAAUCAUCGCGGCGGAUGUGCUCGCCGCAACAGACGGCGUUCCCAAAGUCAACCGAUCGAUUCGA